GGCCAGGUAGCUCAGUUGGUAGAGCAACGGAUUGAAAAUCCGUGUGUCGCCGGUUCGAUCCCGGCCCUGGCCAC
rnacentral:tRNA from 1 species